rnacentral:lncRNA from 12 species
UCAUUUUGCUCAGUGCAGAGUGGCCAAAAGCAAGUUGUAUUGGGAAUAAGAGAAAAAGAGAGGAAAGAAAGAAGGAAAGAAAAGAGAAAGAGAAAAAAAAGGGAAGAAAAGAAACGAAAAAAAAAAGAGAGAAGAAAAAGAGAAAGAAAAAGAAAGGAGAAAAAAAAGGGGGUGGGGGAAGGAAACAAAUCAAAAAGCAAAACAAAACAAAACAAAACAAAAAAAAAAAAAAAAAAAAAAAAAAGAACCACCGGGGAGUAUCUUCUGAUUCUGUGUACUUUAAGUCCCUUGGCUUCUCCUGGAAGUUGUCCGUCUAGCUGGUCUUCUGGGGGAGGGGCCUGCUGUGCUGAUUUUCAGGUGUUAGCAGUUGGGGGAGCUGCUGUGCCCCUGCCUGGUGCAGGGCUCAGUGGGGGUUGUUUACCCCGUGAGGCCCCAGGAGGAACAGCCCCAGUGGCGGGGCAGCUCUGGAAACCUGGAUUCAGCUCCGGCAGGAACUCCGUCUGCAGGGCCUGGAGGCUCCGGGGCGGGGCCGCUGAUCGGCUCAGCUGGGGCAGGAGCGUCCUCGCUGUCCUGUGCCCUCCCGGCCUCUGCCUGUCCCGGGGGAGGCCGGAUCCUGGGCUGUGUCCCAGUGCCCUGUGCUCCGGGGCCUGCGCUGUUGGAUUUGUGCUCCCGCCCUGCAGCCCCCGGAGCUGCUCCCGCCCCGCAGCCCCCUCCGCGAGCCGCCCCCGAGCCCCUCUGAGCUGCUCCGGGUCCCGCCGUGCGCUGCAGCCCUUAGGGAGCUCGGCGCACUCUCCUGGGCGCGCAGUUGCUCUGUUACUGUCUCAGGGAACCCGAGGGCAUCCUCGCCCUCCUGGUUCCUGCUCCCACUCCCCACGAGCCCCUCUCCACCCGGGAAGGUCGGUGCAGCUCCUGCUCCUCCGGGACGGGGCUCUCCUGUCCUGGGGACACUCGCCCCGGCCUCAGCCCGGCUCCUCGCGGGCCCCUCCCCCUUGGAGGCCUUUGUUUCUUUACUUCUUUUUCCCCGUCUUCCUACCUUGA